rnacentral:rRNA from 1 species
AGUGAACGCUGGCGGUAGGCCUAACACAUGCAAGUCGAACGGCAGCACAGUAAGAGCUUGCUCUUACGGGUGGCGAGUGGCGGACGGGUGAGGAAUACAUCGGAAUCUACUUUUUCGUGGGGGAUAACGUAGGGAAACUUACGCUAAUACCGCAUACGACCUACGGGUGAAAGCAGGGGAUCUUCGGACCUUUCGCGAUUGAAUGAGCCGAUGUCGGAUUAGCUAGUUGGCGGGGUAAAGGCCCAACAAGGCGACGAUCCGUAGCUGGUCUGAGAGGAUGAUCACCCACACUGGAACUGAGACACGGUCCAGACUCCUACGGGAGGCAGCAGUCGGGAAUAUUGGACAAUGGGCGCAAGCCUGAUCCAGCCAUACCGCGUGGGUGAAGAAGGCCUUCGGGUUGUAAAGCCCUUUUGUUGGGAAAGAAAAGCAGCAGGUUAAUACCCCGCUGUUCUGACGGUACCCAAAGAAUAAGCACCGGCUAACUUCGUG